AUUAGCUACAACCUGCUAAAAUGUUUUGAUGAAUAACUUUCUUUUUGAUUACAACUAUUUUUAUUGUGUUUUCAUUUAAAUCUAUAUUAUUAGAUUAGAUGUUAUAGUUUUAUUUUUUUCAUAGUACAAACAAUGAAAUUUUCAAGAAGCUAGAAGAAUAACAAAGUUAUGAUAUACUUGGGAUUUGAAUAUCUCACAUUUUUACAUUAUCAAUGGAAUGGUGACUUGGAGAUUCUGACAGAAUUACUCAAUGAAGUAAUAUUCAAUUAUUAAAGACAAAAGGUAGCAACACAUUGCAAAUACUAAUAGAACAUUGUCAUAAUUUCUCUCCUCAAAAAGCAAAAGCAAAAUGAGGCAAGAUGUGGGGGCAGUAAGUGCUGUCCCUCACAAUAUGAUGGGAAAUAUGUUAUCAGGAUUAAAUAAUGAUAUAUUAACAAUAUGAUCAGACAGUUAUCCCUUGCAAGAAGCUCCUCUGUUACUGACAGUAAUUUGUCUAAUCCAUUAAUUUUGACAUUCCUGAAAAGUGUAUAAGUAAUUGAUAUUUCACAAUUCAAGUAUGGAUAAUCUAGACAGAAUUCUGAUUUUAGGUGCUAGAGGCUUAUGCUAAAAUUGAACAAAGAUAUCAUCUAUGGAGAUGCACCUUAGAUAAAGUGCCAAAUGUUUUACUAAUUGUAUAUAUGGGCAGGCAAGGUGAGUAAUUCAUAUAUGUCAUGUAUUUAUAUUUUAUUUUAAAAAAUAAACAUGAACAUCUGUAAUAGAAUAUUUGAAAUAAUGAAGCUAUUGAUUCCAAAUCUGGCACCUUAAAAGGUUUUAGUUGAUUUUGAAGAGGCUUGUAUGAAUGCAGUGAGGAUUGCCUUUCUAUAUGCCAAGAUCAGAGUGUUAUUUUCAUCUGUGUUAGAAUCUCGUUAGGAAAAUUAACAUUGUUGUUUGAAGACUAAAUAUGAAACUAAUAUGAACAUAAAAAUUAUAUUGAACUCUCUUGCUGCAUUAGGCCGGCCGCAAACUAGUCGAUAUUGCAGCAAUCCUGUCACCUUCGACGUCGUACCAAAAUCGUACGUACGACUUGUCAUUGCAACGAUAUCGUCUCCUCCGACCAAAAAGAGGCGGAGCGAGCAACUUUCCCAACAUCAAACAUGUUUGAUAUUUGGUGCGAUGCGACAUGCGCAGUGAAAACUUUGGAAAGUUGAGCAUGCGUAUUUAGAUUUUGGAUUAAUUUGAAAAAAUGGCAA
rnacentral:lncRNA from 1 species